rnacentral:rRNA from 1 species
GCCAGUGAAUAUGCCCUUAAAAUCAACAUGAUAAGAAGGAGCUGGUAUCAAGUACACACAAAAGUAGCUCAAUACACCUUGUACAACCACACCCCCACGGGAAACAGCAGUGAUAAAAAUUAAGCUAUAAACGAAAGUUUGACUUAGUUAUGCAGUUUAUUUAGGGUUGGUAAAUCUCGUGCCAGCCACCGCGGUCAUACGAUUAACCCAAAUUAAUAAACACCGGCGUAAAGAAUGUUUAAGAAUAUAACCAAACUAAGAUUAAAUUUUGUCUAUAUCGUAAAAAAUUUUAGACGAAUUAUAACUCAAUAAACGCAAGUAAUCUUAUAAAAUCUGAAUACAUGACAGCUCAGGCUCAAACUGGGAUUAGAUACCCCACUAUGCUAAGCCGUAAACACAAAUUAUUAAGUAAAACAAAAUAUUUCGCCAGAGGACUACCAGCAACGGCUAAAAACUCAAAGGACUUGGCGGGGCUUCACACCCGCCUAGAGGAGCCUGUUCUGUAAUCGAUAAACCCCGAUAAACCUCACCACUAUUUGCUAAUACAGUUUAUAUACCGCCCUCUUCAGCAAACCUUAAUAAAGAAAAAAAGUGAGCACAAUCACAAGCAUAAAGACGUUAGGUCAAGGUGUAGCCAAUAAAGUGGGAAGAAAUGGGCUACAUUUUCUUAACGAAGAACAUCUAAACGAAAACUAUUAUGAAAUCUAAUAGUGUAAGGAGGAUUUAGUAGUAAAUUA